UCCCGAAAGCGCCAGAGAGAUGAGGAGCUUCUGACCAUGAUCGAUGACAAUAAGGCAAAGCAGCAACAGGAACUCGCAUCUCUAAGGGCCGAAAAUGCUGCACUAAAAACACAGUUGAAGAAGUACCAGAGUCGUCGAGCUGGACCCAGGCUGCGGUGUGUUCACUGAAAAGAACACGUUGUGCAGCCUGGACCACUUCUGCAAAAGUGCAACAGGUGUGGCGCGGGCACUGCUGCCUGCGGUAUUUACACCGCAGGCCCUUGUGACCUGCUCUGUAAAAGGGAACAGGGCAAAAGGGUCACAUCGACCAGAAGAGCCACGGCCUGCACUGCACUCGGGAGCACUUUGUGCUAUUUUAUCAUACACAAAGGCCUUUGCAGUGCGGAAGGGACUGGAGUAUAAUGAGAAAAAUGUCCUGCUGUCAGUGGGAACAAAGCUCAGCGAGCUCCGGAGUGAGCGCAGCAAGAAGCCCUAAAUAAAGUGA